CCCACUUCGGGAUAACUUCGAGAAAUCGUGGCUAAUACCGGAUAUGAACUUCCGCCGCAUGGUGGUUGUUGGAAAGUUUAUCGGUGGGGGAUGGACUCGCGGCCUAUCAGUUUGUAGGUGAGGUAAUGGCUCACCAAGACGAUGACGGGUAGCCGGCCUGACAGGGCGACCGGCCACACUGGGACUGAGACACGGCCCAGACUCCUACGGGAGGCAGCAGUGGGGCAUCUUGCACAAUGGGCGGAAAGCCUGAUGCAGCGACACCGCGUGAGGGAUGACGGCCUUCGGGUUGUAUACCUCUUUCAGUAGGGAAGAAGCGAGAGUGACGGUACCUGCAGAAGAAGCGCCGGCUAACUACGUGCCAGCAGCCGCGGGUAAUACGUAGGGCCGCAAGCCGUUGUCCGGAAUUAUUGGGCGUAAAGAGCUUGUAGGUGGCUUGUCGCGUCUGCCGUGAAACCCGAGGCUCAACCUCGGGCGUGCGGUGGGUACGGGCAGGCUAGAGUGUGGUAGGGGAGACUGG
rnacentral:rRNA from 1 species